AUGCUCGCUUUGGCAGCACAUAUACUAAAACUGGAACGAUACAGAGAAGAUUAGCAUGGUCCCUGAACAAGGAAGACAUGCAAAUUCAUGAAGUGUUCCGUAUUUUU
rnacentral:snRNA from 1 species